UACGGAGGAUCCGAGCGUUAUCCGGAUUUAUUGGGUUUAAAGGGAGCGUAGGCGGGUUGUUAAGUCAGUUGUGAAAGUUUGCGGCUCAACCGUAAAAUUGCAGUUGAUACUGGCAUCCUUGAGUACAGUAGAGGUAGGCGGAAUUCGUGGUGUAGCGGUGAAAUGCGUAGAUAUAAGGAAGAACACCAGUGGCGAAGGCGGAUGACUGGACGGCAACUGACGGUGAGGCGCGAAAGCGUGGGGAGCAAACAGG
rnacentral:rRNA from 1 species